rnacentral:rRNA from 1 species
AUGACCUGCCAGCACUCUGCCAAUGCCGCGGCCGCUGCUGCCACCGACCCCGCUCCCCACGAGCAGCAGAACUCCUCCAUGCACCCCUCUGUGCAGCCCGAUGUUCGCACUGCCAUGGCCUCUUCUUCCCUCGGCCGCCGCGGGCCGCGGAACACGCAGGCUGUGCUGCUCAUGGCACGAGAUCUAAUCCGCUCCCGCCCGGCCAACGCCGGCUACGACGCUCGGCUUGGCCACAUCACCGAGCUCGUCAUUGCCACUAGAGAAGCCCUGGCGCCCUCCCACUCGUUCCGUCCUCCACCGUCUCGAGCCGGGGACGUGGCGCACGGAGCACCUCCGCUGCCGUCUUGA